rnacentral:rRNA from 1 species
AUGUCCUGAUCCAACAUCGAGGUCGUAAACCCUCUUAUCGAUGGGGGCUCUCAAAGAGGAUUGCGCUGUUAUCCCUGGGGUAACUCUGUCCGUUAAUCGGCAUUGGCCGGAUCUUGUAGGUCAGAAGUUCUGUCAGCUAGAACUGUGGUUCUUGCUUCUAGGAGAGGUUCUCCCGGUCCACAUGGGGGUUAUUUUUUUCCCCACGGUCGCCCCAACCAAAAACAUUUGGGCUGCGU